rnacentral:rRNA from 1 species
UAGGGAGCAAGCGUUGUCCGGAAUUACUGGGCGUAAAGGGUGCGUAGGCGGUUUGUCAAGUCGAAUGUGAAAUACCGGGGCUUAACCUCGGGGCUGCAUUCGAAACUGGCAGACUUGAGUGCAGGAGAGGAAAGCGGAAUUCCUAGUGUAGCGGUGAAAUGCGUAGAUAUUAGGAGGAACACCGGUGGCGAAGGCGGCUUUCUGGACUGUAACUGACGCUGAGGCACGAAAGCGUGGGGAGCAAA